rnacentral:rRNA from 1 species
AUGCCCGUCAAACUAGUCGGCGUUGAUGUCGAGUACACACACUACGAGAAGCCACAGCGUGCAGCGGUACUACAGCUAUGCGUAGAAAAAGAAUGCCUUGUCUACCACAUAUCUGCAGCUAAAGACAGGCCAAUGGAACUAGACAAAUUCCUGAUGAAUGAUGAGUACACCUUCGUCGGAUUCGCUAUUGAAGGAGACAAAAGCAAGCUGAAGGUAUCUGGUUUGGAGAUCAACUCCAACAACUACAUUGAUAUUUAG